GUCUCAAUAGCAUAAUGAUUAGUGCACAGCCCCGGAUAAGUUGAGAUGCGGGUUCGCUUCCUGCCUGAGAUG
rnacentral:tRNA from 1 species